UUUCUCAUUCUUGGUUCAUCUAAUCUCUGUUUCUUUUGUGUAUAGCAAAAUUUUCAUAUAACCUAUUGUUUUAAUUUAUAGAGCACACUGGUUGUUGCUUGCUAUCAACCCUAUAAGAGAAGUCGUGUAUUAUCUGAAUUCGGUAAAUGGUGACUGGACCAAUUAUCCGGCUAUGAAGGAAAUCGUUGAUUUAUCAAUACAAGUGUUCCGAAGUCAACGGGACGCACAUGUAUCCCGGACUAAAUCAAACAACAUUACUUGGAUCAAAGUGCAGUGUCCGCAACAGUGAAACAGUUCAGAUUGCGGAUACUUUGUUUUGAGGUUUAUGAAAGAAAUCCUUCAGGCGAAUCAAUUAGAGAUUCCGCUCACGUACCUUGACGAAUUCCGUGCUGCUGGGUACCCGAGACUUAAGUUGGAAGAAAUCAAAGAGGAUUUGUGUCAAUAUUAUAUUAAGCAAUUUUUCAUGUAGGAUUUGUGUCGAUUUGAACUAUAGUAUUAUUG